rnacentral:rRNA from 1 species
UACGUAGGGGGCAAGCGUUGUCCGGAUUUAUUGGGCGUAAAGAGCGUGUAGGCGGUUAGGUAGGUCCGUUGUGAAAACUCGAGGCUCAACCUCGAGACGCCGAUGGAAACCAUCUGGCUAGAGUCCGGAAGAGGAGAGUGGAAUUCCCGGUGUAGCGGUGAAAUGCGCAGAUAUCGGGAAGAACACCCGUGGCUAAGGCGGCUCUCUAGUACGGUACUGACGCUGAGACGCGAAAGCGUGGGGAGCGAACAGG